AGCGCAGGCGGACCGGCAAGUUGGAAGUGAAAACUAUGGGCUCAACCCAUAAAUUGCUUUCAAAACUGCUGGCCUUGAGUAGUGCAGAGGUAGGUGGAAUUCCCGGUGUAGCGGUGGAAUGCGUAGAUAUCGGGAGGAACGCCAGUGGCGAAGGCGACCUACUGGGCACCAACUGACGCUGAGGCUCGAAAGCAUGGGUAGCAAACA
rnacentral:rRNA from 1 species